UACGUAGGAUCCAAGCGUUGUCCGGAUUUACUGGGUGUAAAGGGUGCGCAGGCGGACUUGUUAGUCAGAGGUGAAAUCUCACAGCUUAACUGUGAAACUGCCUUUGAUACUGCAAGUCUUGAAUCCAGAAGAGAGUUGUGGAAUUCCGAGUGUAGCAGUGAAAUGUGUAGAUAUUCGGAAGAACACCAGUGGCUAAGGCAGCAACUUGGUCUGGUAUUGACGCUCAGGCACGAAAGCAUGGGGAUCAAACAGG
rnacentral:rRNA from 1 species